GUGAGGAAUAUUGCGCAAUGGAGGCAACUCUGACGCAGCCAUGCCGCGUGCAGGAAGAAGGCGCUACGCGUUGUAAACUGCUUUUAACCGGGAAGAAACCCCAGGACGUGUCCUGGGUUGACGGUACCGGAGGAAUAAGCACCGGCUAACUUCGUGCCAGCAGCCGCGGUAAUACGAAGGGUGCAAGCGUUAUCCGGAUUCAUUGGGUUUAAAGGGUGCGUAGGCGGAGCGUUAAGUCAGUGGUGAAAUCCUGCAGCUUAACUGUAGACGUGCCAUUGAUACUGGCGCUCUUGAGUGCGCUUGAAGUGGGCGGAAUGUGCCGUGUAGCGGUGAAAUGCUUAGAUAUGGCACAGAACACCAAUUGCGAAGGCAGCUCACUAAGGCGAUACUGACGCUGAGGCACGAAAGCGUGGGGAUCGAACAGGAUUAGAUACCCGUGUAGUC
rnacentral:rRNA from 1 species